AUGAUAUUCAUCUCGUAUUUUCAUUUUUACCCGCCGCAUUCCUUGUGUUAAGAUAUUCUCCCACAAUAACUGCCACUACCUGAGACUAGCAUCAAACUGCUUUUUUGAUCAGCUAUGAGUGUUCAAAGAGGACUACAUAUAUUUCCUAACUUGGACACGAAUC